UACGUAGGGUGCUAGCGUUGUUCGGAAUCAUUGGGCGUAAAGCGCGUGUAGGUGGUUAGGUAAGUCGGGUGUGAAAUCCCUGGGCUCAACCGAGGAAGUGCAUCCGAAACUCCCUAGCUAGAGGACGGUAGAGGAAGGUGGAAUUCCUAGUGUAGAGGUGAAAUUCGUAGAUAUUAGGAGGAAUACCGGUGGCGAAGGCGGCCUUCUGGGCCGAUCCUGACACUGAGACGCGAAAGCGUGGGUAGCAAACAGG
rnacentral:rRNA from 1 species